rnacentral:lncRNA from 1 species
CCCGAAGCAUGAAGCUCACUGUCCGACCCUUCUCAAACCUUAUUCUCUCCAAAAAAAAAAACCUUCAUUUCUUAACCUAUCCUCCCCUUUAACCCUAAUUCUCCCCUCUCUCAAAUCCUAGCCUUUGAAUUUCUUCAAUCUUCCAUCUUGGAUCCGGAAUUGGCUCCGCUGUUAGAAUUCUCUCCUCUGUUUUUACCUUUAAGAGAUCCUUUUACUGAAAACAAUGUUCCCUGAAAUGGCACAGAGAACAGGACAGUGUGAAAUAGAAU